rnacentral:rRNA from 1 species
CAUCGCCUCUUGACCCAAUAAGAGGUCCAGCCUGCCCAGUGACCCUGUUCAACGGCCGCGGUAUCCUAACCGUGCGAAGGUAGCGUAAUCACUUGUCCCCUAAAUAGGGACUAGUAUGAAAGGCAUCACGAGGAUUAAACUGUCUCCUCUCUCUGAUCAGUAAACCUAAUCUCCCCGUGAAGAAGCGGGAAUUUUAAUAUAAGACGAGAAGACCCUAUGGAGCUUAAAACACUAUAUCACCCGCCACACUAUUCCAUCAGAUUACUCACCCUGGCGCACUGAUUAUAAAGUUUUCGGUUGGGGUGACCAUGGAGAAAAACUCAUCCUCCAUAGCAACUAGAACAAACAAGUUACAACUUCCAUCUCAAUAAAUUGACACCAUUGACCCAAUAUUUGAUCAACGAACCAAGUUACCCUAGGGAUAACAGCGCAAUCCACUUUAAGAGCUCAUAUCGACAAGUGGGCUUACGACCUCGAUGUUGGAUCGGGGUACCCCGGUGGUGCAGCAACUACUAAAGGUUCGUUUGUUCAACGAUUAAAACCCC